rnacentral:rRNA from 1 species
UACGUAGGAUGCAAGCGUUAUCCGGAAUUAUUGGGCGUAAAGCGAACGUAGGCGGUUCUGUAAGUCUGGGGUUAAAGACCAAGGCUCAACCUUGGGAGUGCCCUGGAAACUACAGGACUGGAGGACGGCAGAGGAAAGUGGAAUUCCCAGUGUAGCGGUGAAAUGCGUAGAGAUUGGGAGGAACACCAGUGGCGAAAGCGACUUUCUGGGCCGUUCCUGACGCUGAGGUUCGAAAGCCAGGGGAGCAAACGGG